rnacentral:rRNA from 1 species
AGAGUUUGAUCCUGGCUCAGAGUGAACGCUGGCGGCGUGCCUAAUACAUGCAAGUCGAACGAUGAAGCUUCUAGCUUGCUAGAAUGCUGAUUAGUGGCGCACGGGUGAGUAACGCAUAGGUCAUGUGCCUCUUAGUUUGGGAUAGCCAUUGGAAACGAUGAUUAAUACCAGAUACUCCCUACGGGGGAAAGAUUUAUCGCUAAGAGAUCAGCCUAUGUCCUAUCAGCUUGUUGGUAAGGUAAUGGCUUACCAAGGCUAUGACGGGUAUCCGGCCUGAGAGGGUGAACGGACACACUGGAACUGAGACACGGUCCAGACUCCUACGGGAGGCAGCAGUAGGGAAUAUUGCUCAAUGGGGGAAACCCUGAAGCAGCAACGCCGCGUGGAGGAUGAAGGUUUUAGGAUUGUAAACUCCUUUUGUUAGAGAAGAUAAUGACGGUAUCUAACGAAUAAGCACCGGCUAACUCCGUGCCAGCAGCCGCGGUAAUACGGAGGGUGCAAGCGUUACUCGGAAUCACUGGGCGUAAAGAGCGCGUAGGCGGGAUAGUCAGUCAGGUGUGAAAUCCUAUGGCUUAACCAUAGAACUGCAUUUGAAACUACUAUUCUAGAGUGUGGGAGAGGUAGGUGGAAUUCUUGGUGUAGGGGUAAAAUCCGUAGAGAUCAAGAGGAAUACUCAUUGCGAAGGCGACCUGCUGGAACAUUACUGACGCUGAUUGCGCGAAAGCGUGGGGAGCAAACAGGAUUAGAUACCCUGGUAGUCCACGCCCUAAACGAUGGAUGCUAGUUGUUGGAGGGCUUAGUCUCUCCAGUAAUGCAGCUAACGCAUUAAGCAUCCCGCCUGGGGAGUACGGUCGCAAGAUUAAAACUCAAAGGAAUAGACGGGGACCCGCACAAGCGGUGGAGCAUGUGGUUUAAUUCGAAGAUACACGAAGAACCUUACCUAGGCUUGACAUUGAGAGAAUCCGCUAGAAAUAGUGGAGUGUCUGGCUUGCCAGACCUUGAAAACAGGUGCUGCACGGCUGUCGUCAGCUCGUGUCGUGAGAUGUUGGGUUAAGUCCCGCAACGAGCGCAACCCCCUUUCUUAGUUGCUAACAGGUCAUGCUGAGAACUCUAAGGAUACUGCCUCCGUAAGGAGGAGGAAGGUGGGGACGACGUCAAGUCAUCAUGGCCCUUACGCCUAGGGCUACACACGUGCUACAAUGGGGUGCACAAAGAGAAGCAAUACUGCGAAGUGGAGCCAAUCUUCAAAACACCUCUCAGUUCGGAUUGUAGGCUGCAACUCGCCUGCAUGAAGCUGGAAUCGCUAGUAAUCGCAAAUCAGCCAUGUUGCGGUGAAUACGUUCCCGGGUCUUGUACUCACCGCCCGUCACACCAUGGGAGUUGUGUUUGCCUUAAGUCAGGAUGCUAAACUAGCUACUGCCCACGGCACACACAGCGACUGGGGUGAAGUCGUAACAAGGUAACCGUAGGUGAACCUGCGGUUG